rnacentral:rRNA from 1 species
AACGAACGCUGGCGGCAUGCCUAACACAUGCAAGUCGAACGAAGGCUUCGGCCUUAGUGGCGCACGGGUGAGUAACACGUGGGAAUCUGCCUUUCGGUUCGGGAUAACGUCUGGAAACGGACGCUAACACUGGAUACGCCCUUCGGGGGAAAGUUCACGCCGAGAGAGGAGCCCGCGUCCGAUUAGGUAGUUGGUGGGGUAACGGCCCACCAAGCCGACGAUCGGUAGCUGGUCUGAGAGGAUGAUCAGCCACACUGGGCCUGAGACACGGCCCAGACUCCUACGGGAGGCAACAGUGGGGAAUAUUGGACAAUGGGGGCAACCCUGAUCCAGCAAUGCCGCGUGGGUGAUGAAGGCCUUAGGGUUGGAAAGCUCUUUCGCACGCGACGAUGAUGACGGUAGCGUGAGAAGAAGCCCCGGCUAACUUCGUGCCAGCCGCCGCCGUAA